UACGGGAGGCAGCAGUGGGGAAUCUUCCGCAAUGGGCGAAAGCCUGACCCAGCAACGCCGCGUGAGGGAAGAAGGUUUUCGGAUUGUAAACUUCUGUCCUCAGGGAAGAAAAAAAUGACGGUACCUGAGGAGGAAGCCCCGGCUAACUACGUGCCAGCAGCCGCGGUAAUACGUAGGGGGCGAGCGUUGUCCGGAAUGACUGGGCGUAAAGGGCGCGUAGACGGCCGAUUAAGUCUGGAGUGAAAGUCCUGCUUUCAAGGUGGGAAUUGCUUUGGAGACUGGUUGGCUUGAGUGCGGAAGAGGUAAGUGGAAUUCCCAGUGUAGCGGUGAAAUGCGUAGAGAUUGGGAAGAACACCAGUGGCGAAGGCGACUUACUGGGCCGUAACUGACGUUGAUGCGCGAAAGCGUGGGGAGCGAACAGGAUUAGAUACCCUGGUAGUCCACGCCGUAAACGAUGAGUGCUAGGUGUAGCGGGUAUCGACCCCUGCUGUGCCGGAGUUAACACAAUAAGCACUCCGCCUGGGGAGUACGGCCGCAAGGUUGAAACUCAAAGGAAUUGACGG
rnacentral:rRNA from 1 species